UACGUAGGGUGCGAGCGUUAAUCGGAAUUACUGGGCGUAAAGUGUGCGCAGGCGGCUUAGCAAGUCGAGUGUGAAAUCCCCGAGCUUAACUUGGGAAUUGCGCUCGAAACUACGGAGCUGGAGUGUGGCAGAGGAAGGUGGAAUUCCACGUGUAGCGGUGAAAUGCGUAGAGAUGUGGAGGAACACCGAUGGCGAAGGCAGCCUUCUGGGCCAACACUGACGCUCAUGCACGAAAGCGUGGGGAGCAAACAGG
rnacentral:rRNA from 1 species